rnacentral:rRNA from 1 species
UACAGAGGGUGCGAGCGUUAAUCGGAUUUACUGGGCGUAAAGGGCGCGUAGGCGGUUUGAUAAGUGAGAUGUGAAAUCCCUGGGCUUAACCUAGGAACUGCAUCUCAUACUGUUGAGCUAGAGUAUUGUAGAGGGUAGUGGAAUUUCCGGUGUAGCGGUGAAAUGCGUAGAGAUCGGAAGGAACACCAGUGGCGAAGGCGGCUACCUGGACAAAUACUGACGCUGAUGCGCGAAAGCGUGGGGAUCAAACAGG